rnacentral:tRNA from 1 species
ACCUGGGUGGCUUAAUUGGUUAAGCGUCUGACUUUGGCUCAGGUCAUGAUCUCACGGGUUGUGGUUUCAGGCACCACAUCAGGCU